rnacentral:tRNA from 1 species
CGUCCUCCUGGUCGAGGACGACGACGGCGACGCCCUGCUCGUCGAGGCGCUGCUCGAAGAAGCGAGCGCGCCGUUCGUCCUGGCGCGCGCGA